GACUGGGAGCAUGAUCAAGAGCUAAAAGACGAUCUAGAGAAGUAUGUUAUGAGAAAUUUAUCGAGGAAAGAAGUUUUAGACUUUGUAGCACGAGACUAUCCCCAGUAUGCCUGGUCCUUAAGCUCUUUAAAAAGGAGACUGACGUCUUUUGAUAUUAAGUACAUAAGAUACGAUACUGAAAUCGAAGACGUCCAGACUGCUGUAAGAGAAGAAAUGGAAGGCCCAGGGCAACUAUUAGGGUAUAGAGCCAUGCAGCAUAAAAUCCGAGAGCAACAUCAACUGUUUGUCCCUCGAAAUUUGGUGUACGAUAUGAUGACAAUGGUGGACCCGG